rnacentral:rRNA from 1 species
UACGAAGGGGGCUAGCGUUAGGCGGAAUCACUGGGCUUAAAGCGUGUGUAGGCGGGUCGUUAAGUACCUUGUGAAAUCCCACGGCUCAACCGUGGAACUGCUUGGUAUACUGGGUGUCUUGAGCUAUCUAGGGGCAACUGGAACAAACGGUGGAGCGGUGAAAUGCGUAGAGAUCGGAAAGAACACCAACGGCGAAAGCACUCUGCUGGGCCGACACUGACACUGAGAGACGAAAGCUAGGGGAGCGAAUGGG